UCUUAUACUUUAUAAGAGUAUAAAUUUUAUUUUUUUUAAAUGGCAACAUAUAUAUUUAAAGUAUCGUAUAUAAUGAAAAUAAUUCAAAUCAAAAAAAUGACUGGUCUACAAUAAUUUUUAGUCGUAUACUUCGGAAGUUAUUACUAUUCUAAAAAAAAGCGACUAGGGAUGAAUUGUAAGAUUACUUUGAAUCCUAAUAAUAAGAGAACACUGCAACACAUACAAAUAAAAUAAUCAAUCAUUAUACAAAGUUAUCAAAAACAGUAUUUUUUUGGGAUCUGGAUAUUACUGCGGUAAACAUUUAUUACU